UACGGGGGGGGCAAGCGUUGUUCGGAAUUAUUGGGCGUAAAGAGCUCGUAGGCGGUUUGUCGCGUCUGCCGUGAAAAUCCGGGGCUCAACCCCGGACUUGCGGUGGGUACGGGCAGACUAGAGUGUGGUAGGGGAGACUGGAAUUCCUGGUGUAGCGGUGAAAUGCGCAGAUAUCAGGAGGAACACCGAUGGCGAAGGCAGGUCUCUGGGCCACUACUGACGCUGAGAAGCGAAAGCGUGGGGAGCGAACAGG
rnacentral:rRNA from 1 species